AGUGAACGCUGGCGGUAGGCCUAACACAUGCAAGUCGAACGGCAGCACAGUAAGAGCUUGCUCUUACGGGUGGCGAGUGGCGGACGGGUGAGGAAUACAUCGGAAUCUACUUUUUCGUGGGGGAUAACGUAGGGAAACUUACGCUAAUACCGCAUACGACCUACGGGUGAAAGCAGGGGAUCUUCGGACCUUGCGCGAUUGAAUGAGCCGAUGUCGGAUUAGCUAGUUGGCGGGGUAAAGGCCCACCAAGGCGACGAUCCGUAGCUGGUCUGAGAGGAUGAUCGGCCACACUGGAACUGAGACACGGUCCAGACGCCUACGGGAGGCAGCAGUGGGGAAUAUUGGACAAUGGGCGCAAACCUGGUCCAGCCAUACCGCGUGGGUGAAGAAGGCCUUCGGGUUGUAAAGCCCUUUUGUUGGGAAAGAAAAGCAGCAGGUUAAUACCCCGCUGUUCUGACGGUACCCAAAGAAUAAGCACCGGCUAACUUCGUG
rnacentral:rRNA from 1 species